rnacentral:rRNA from 1 species
AACGAACGCUGGCGGCAUGCCUAACACAUGCGAGUCGAACGAGACCUUCGGGUCUAGUGGCGCACGGGUGCGUAACGCGUGGGAACCUGCCCUUAGGUUCGGAAUAACUCCCCGAAAGGGGCGCUAAUACCGGAUAAUGUCUUCGGACCAAAGAUUUAUCGCCUUUGGAUGGGCCCGCGUUGGAUUAGCUAGUUGGUAGGGUAAAAGCCUACCAAGGCGACGAUCCAUAGCUGGUCUGAGAGGAUGAUCAGCCACACUGGGACUGAGACACGGCCCAGACUCCUACGGGAGGCAGCAGUGGGGAAUAUUGGACAAUGGGCGAAAGCCUGAUCCAGCAAUGCCGCGUGAGUGAUGAAGGCCUUAGGGUUGUAAAGCUCUUUUACCCGGGAUGAUAAUGACAGUACCGGGAGAAUAAGCUCCGGCUAACUCCGUG